UUGUCAACUAUGGGCUGUGGGAUCAGGUCAGAGUCGACCACGGCAAGGAAUUCUACUUGUCACUUUUUAUACAGGAAAUCCUUGCACCCUAUAGACACAAUCAAGACAAACCACCAUAUUGUCAAACAACAUCAAUAAAGAAUAAUAAAGUUGAGCGACUCUGGCCUGAGAUAAACAGCAGGGUCAAUUACCCUUUAAAGGAAGCUCUGAUCCAUCUGACUGACCAAGAACUCCUUGACAUGGACUGUAACAUCAGCAGAUAUUGUGUGUCUAACUUGACAGGCCAACUGUGCAAGAUUGAAAUAAAAAGAGUUGUGGAGGCCUGGAAUGAACAUAGAAUCCCUGGAAAAGGAAUCCCAAAUCAACUAGCAGGAGGUGGAUGUCCAAAAAAAGUCUCAGAAGUGUUACUGCCUCAUGCAUCUGAAGCAGCCAACCUUUACAAUGAGGAACUAAGAAGCACCUUAACAACUGACUCAUCAUUUGGAACAGACCCUUUCACAUACGAAGAACAGAAGGCUACUGUUGAACGGGUUUUCACCGAAACUUACCCUGACAUAGCAGAGUUGCUAAACAGCACAGUCAACAAAAAUCAUUCCCCUUUUAAAGAUGCAGUGCUCUAUCUUAUAAACUUAACUAAAAGGCACAUGCAGUAAUCUUAUGUAUAUAACAAAGAAAAAAGUUAUAUAUUCCUGUUCUAGGGUCUCAUUGAACACUGAGAACACAGUAUAAUAAACAAUUUAACAAAUAGGCUACUUAACCUAAAAGUGUGGUCUAUAGAUGCAGCACCUAAUCCACAUU